rnacentral:lncRNA from 1 species
GGAUAAGAAAUAUGCCUUCAUGCUGACUCAUGACUCUCAACUCUCAUGAUAUCCAGAAGCACAAAAAAUUUCCAAACAAGAAAAGGCUACUAUUGCAUGUUAAAGGAACUGUAGUGCGAUAUAUCCCUAAAUGUUUAAACGUAAAAGAUAAGGUACUCUUAUAUGUGACUGAUCAUACUAUCCCGAGAACCUUAAGACCAUAAGGACACACAGCCAUCUCACUAAGAAAGUGAAAUUUAGAUACGUACCAUCCCAAGCAUCAUAAAACUCUCCCACGGGGGUAGCAAGUCUUUGUGAACCUUCCUCUCCUGCAUCACCCUCUACCUCCGUGUUACUUGUGAAACUUGCUGAUUCACCUGGAUCAUAGAAAUCUUCAGACUCACUCUCCUUGUCUGCUUUGACAGUGACAGGGUCUGAUAGAUUGCUUUCCCGUCCUAAACCAUUGGCAGCACUAUCCAACUCCGACUUUCCAUUCUCAGUUUUCCCGUCAAGCGGACUCCAAUUCCCAACAGGACCAUCAACAAUCCCAUCAAAAUCAAAGUUUCCAACUUGAUGAGCAUGAACACCAUUAGUAUAAUCCUCUUCAGUAGCCUCACUUACAGGAAAUGAGAACGAGGUCGACUUCCUCCGAGGUGAAGCCUUAACGUCUGUACCACUAGUAAUAGCUUCAUCUUCCAGCGUCUUCUUUUGGGAAGCCACAUUAGCCUCGGAGGAGCUUUUCAAAAGACGCGGCCCGCGUGAUUUGUGGUUGAUGAUAUAAGGAGAAGGUGGGAAAGAAGAUGGCGAAUUGGGGAGAGGAAUUGCAUCAGGUGUGGCGUAGAGAGCCGGUGACAUCUGAGGACGAGUAAAUGUCCUCUCAUUAUUAGGUAAUUUACCUUUACCUUUCUCCAGUUUUGAUAUUGGUGGCUUCGAAUAAAACGAUUUUGUGCUUGGAACAGUCUCUACGGAUGUGGAAGCCCCUGGCUCUAGCAUUCUAUCCAAAGCAAUUGCAGAAAAAGUAGGCAUGGCUCUGCAUCAUUGAAGAUUCGAAAAUUAGUACGACAAUACCAAAAGAGAUGAAACCACCACAAGAGCUUUCUUCGUUUCAAUCGAAUCAGAAAUGAAAAUGAAACAAGCACGAAAUGCAAUUAACAAGGAGUAAGUGAGAAAAUUAGCUAUUGGGAAGGUACAAAGCAAAGACCGCGUGUUCGAUUCACACCAUCGCUACCACGAAGCUACCAAACAAAACUUUAGAUUCUCGUCGAAAUUCGAGAGGAUACGAGAAGAUAAAAAAAACAGCUCACGAAAACCUAAAAUCGAGAAGAAGCAGGCAAAUCAAUCACAAAUCGAGAAUCUAGAAAGGUCAAGUCGAGAAGUCAAUCGAAUCUCCCCAACGCAAAGCAAGAACAGCACCUCCAAGAUGCAAUCCUCCGAUAACGAAUUUUCCAGAAAUUCCACCGCAACACAACAAGCCGAUAAACCGGAAAACAUAACCAAAAGAAAAAUUCAAAGGCGUAAAAGAACGAUUACCUCGCACGCGAAGGAGAUCUCGACGGAAGAAGCUGAAAAAUCUAACGGUAGAUCCUGGUUAGACGGAAGCGAGACGACGACGAAGAUUGGGAGAAGAAGAAGAGGAUCGAUACGGCAUCGUAUAAGAGAUGCAGAGGAAGGAGGAGGGAAGAAGAAGAAGAAGAAGAAAACCUCUUCUCCAAGGCUUUUUAUCGCAAACGACACCUCCGCUUUGUCUCUCCGCAAAUAUUUGAUUUUGAAAACGCUCUCUUUUUUUCUCUUUGCUUCUUUCUUUCCCCUAUUCUUGGCGACCCAUUUCUUAACAGAUUCAUUAUUUUAUCUCAAAUCUUAAUUUGUUUCUUUUUAAAAAUUAAUCCUCUACGCUUGGUCGUCGAACAUUUUAGCCAAACGUGUCUUUUUGAGAGAUCCAAAGACGGAUUUGACCUUUGACGGUAUGACUAACGAUCAAGGUCGGCGCGAUAACGAGGGGUAUUUUUAUGUAAAUAAUUCAACGGUAGGGUUUCGAAAUUAAUCGAAAACGACGCCGUCUAAGGGAUCUUGUUAAAGUGGGUCAUAUAAGAGAACUGGUCCUAUCUCGAAUAUUCAAUUACGUCAUAAAAACGGUGACGUGGCAACAUUAGGUCCUAAAAGCAAUUUUGGUUUUUAUUAACUUUUAACCCGUGGCCCAAUUUAUCUGUUCACGAAUCUGUAAAGCCCAUUUUGAAAACGAAUUUUUAAUAUUUUUUUGAAAAGUUGUUUUUGUCUUGUUCAAAUCUGGACUUUGAUAUUUUCUAGAGCCAGUUCCAUAACGUGACACAUGUGAACACGCUUAUAAUAAUAUUUAGAAUUUGUUAACAAAGUCAUGUUUUAUAAUCAGGUCUUCCAAAUAAAGGAGACUAUCUUACUCAUUUUAUUGCAAUAUUUUUCCUGAACUUUACUAUCUGAUGAGAAGAAGAAAUCAAAUGCAUUUGCCAUUCAAAAUUUGAAACUCUCUUCCCUUUAUUUUAAAAUUUUAAAACAAAAGCUAAAGGUAUGAAACAAAAGAACCUGAUUCAAAGCAACCAACUCCUGACCUCCUAUUCCAGCAAUUGAUUCGAUUCUCAUAAACAUAUCUUUAUAAAAUAAACUAGAAAUUAAAACCAAGUUAUUAAUCAUUAUAAGCUCAUGGAUCUUGAAUUUAUCUUAUUCUUGAGAACUCAAUGAAAGUGCACUAAACACUCAUAUUUUGAAUACAUCAAUUCGCAAAACAUGACAAAUUCAUAGUUUGAUCCAUCUUUUGAAUCGAAUCACAGGUUGUUUUUUGUGUUCCUCAUAGAUUAUAUAAAAAACAAUAUACAAAGUCUUUAUUCGUCUUCCUUCAUUUGAAUCUAUCUGUAAUGAAUCACAGGUGCGUUAGAAUUCGGAUCCCACACACCUCCUUCCUUCACAUAUUCCAUAUACCUCGCAAACUCCGGUUUCGCCGUCGCCAAACUCUUCUUAGUCGGCUUCUUCUUCUUCUUCCUCUGAAAACGAACGUCGAAGAAACUUAGCAAAGGAUGAACAGAACCACCGGUUGCUUUCGCCGUCGGCGUCUUCUUCACCUCUUGAAUCGGGUUUCUUGAAUUACCAUAAACACUAGCCGGAACGCUCGUGACCCUCUUCAGUCUCGGUUCUUCGUCGCCGAGCUUUUCGUAGCCGCCGUGGCUUUUCCUGGUGCUCAUGGCUCUAAACAUUGUGGUGUGCUGUGUGAAAAAGUUUGAUUUUUUCUUUUUUUUGUUAGGUGUGUUCUUGAAUUUUUCUCUUGAUGCUGUUUAUUUAAGUAAAAGUAGGCCAAGUUUGCUUUGUGAAAUGAAAAGAAAAAUAAUAUAACUGUUGACUUUUAUUUUUGUGUAGAUCUCCAACUAACGACAUUAAAUAUAUAUGUGUAUAAUUUAAUAAAAAGCAUGUGUUAAUGUUACACCCACAUGAUGUAUACAUCUCGUCCCUGUUUAAUCGCCGGUCAAUUGCGGUUUAUGCUGACUAUUAUUACGUCUACAUCUUUUAGACAAUUCAAAUGGACAAUGGCUUUAGAGUUUACACUAACUUGUCGUGUGCAAAACUUUAUUUGUCUCAUUUAAAUCCAACAAUUUAUUAUUCUUGGUUAGAAGAGAAAAAGUUUGCAACAUUGUCUAGAAACUUGCAUGAUCAAAAGGAAACCUUUCAGAAACCAUUUGCAAAGAUAUAUCUAAUGCGUUUGAUUCCAAAUCCACGUAAGGUCAAUAUGGUUUGAGUUGAUCAUAUAAUCGUAUUAUAUAUCCUUCUUGUUUAAAACCUUUAUUGAAGUUAGACUUGUUCCUAUAUCUAUAUACUGUAUUUGUGUUUUGUCAUAUUCUUAGGUCGGACAGGGAGGUGGAAACCUUAUUCUUCCCAAAACGAGUGGAAGACGGAAAGAAGAAGAAGAAGAAGACGACACAAAUACGAAAAGAAAAACAAAUUCCUACUAAAUUAGUUAUGACAAUACAAAAAUAUAUUAUGUUGUUACUUGUUAGUGAAAGGUUUGACAUAUGUUAAUUUCCUUAUAUGUUAUUAUAGGUCUCAAUUUACUUAGAUGUGGGAUUGUCAAGGAAUUUGGUGACUUGAUGACAGAGGAGACGGUGACCGGUAUUAUUAAAACUUGAUUACCCAAUGAAAAUUGAGAAUAAGAAGAGGAUGAGCAAGCUCUGUUUAAGUAGUCUUUCAAAUAGGGCAAAUCACCGAGAACAUUGUCAUAAUCGCUGCGCCUCAUAGCAUGUUGCACUAGAAAAUAGAUGACAUAACAUGAUACCAAUAACAAAAAAAAACCUAGACAUCGAAGGAAGAGUAAGAAUCAUACACUAGCUAGGAAGACUACAUAAUAAGAAUGUUGUUGUAUCUCAAGUUCAGUGUAUUGCAAAUUGGAUCAACAAAUCUUUUGUUAGGGACAACCAAACCAUUUUAGAUAGACGAAAAUUGUUCUUGUUAUUCUUCUUCUUAGCCAAGUAGUGUGCUCGCUAUCUUUCCCCUGCCUCUAGUGUCAACAAAUACAUUUUCUUUUUAAUCAGAAUAAAAAAAUACAUUAGGCGUCUUAUUUUUUUACCAAACAAAAUUAUAACCACAAAUCAAGAGAAUAGCUAACACCAAAUUCACUGUUUGGAGUUUAAUUUCGGUUCAGCUUGUUUCGUCAUAUGAACCCGUAAAUUCCUGAUCAUCAAGGCAUGAAACAAAUACAGAAGAACAAUGCUAAAUGUGUUCCGUACAAUAUGUACUUAUUAUAAAAAAACGCCUAAAAACAAAACGCUAGAAGGAGGGGUCGAACCUCCGACCUUGUGGUUAACAGCCACACGCUCUAACCAACUGAGCUAUUCCAGCUUCCUUACUCUAUCUUGAAUUUUAAAUAUUAUUAUACAUAUUUGUAUCCGUUUAAUUGAAAGGUCCAAAGUUUAUCACUUGUUGCAACCACAAACUAUGAAACUAAUAAGCAAAAAUCGCACAUAAACACGAAAAAUCAAAACAUAAUAAACGCUUAUGUUGUCUAGAUUUGCAUCAACAAUCCUAUAAACUGUAGUCACGAAUUCAUACUAAAAAAAAUUUAAUAAUUUAAAAGCCAAAAAAAAGGGUUUAAUUUCAGUUUUGCAGAUCACUAGUGUUACAGUUCCUCUUCAUUGCUUGCUUGUUAUUAUGCAUCCACACUUUAAAAACCUGUCUCCUCAGAUUCACCAACCUGCAAAACUUAUCAAUCUCUUCUUCAUCUUUCUUCUGUAUCCUCCACCCCAAUCUCUCUGCAAACUCCUUCAUCUUCUCCUUUUGUUCUUCAUUGAUCUUUGUCCUUAUCCUCUUCUUCUUCUUCCUCAUCAUCAUCAUCCUCAUCGACCCGUUUCCAUCAAUACUCUGGUUCCGAUGAUUCAAAAUCUUGUUCAUAUCCUCGCUCGAAGAAGAUGUCCUCCGUCCAAUCUCUCCCGUUGGAUGCAUUCCACGUGGCUGCACCGCCUUGUACGAGCUGUUACUGUAGUAAAACGCCGGAGUUAUCAGCUCUUGUUUACUGUGUCCGUACAUUUCUUUCCGGUGGAAACUCCGGUGGCAUUUGCAGGCGGCGCAUUUUAGAGCACCGAGCGUACCCUCUUCACCUCCGGGCAUGAAGUCGCAGCAUCCGUCCACCACGUGUCCUCCGGUUAAAGCCGCGUGGUUCUUUUGACAUUCCUUGUACUUCGCUGCUUGGUCGCUACGUGUCAUCGGUUUAGGGUUUUCUUUCUUGACGGCGGUGUGAACCAUGGGAGGUUUGGAGAUCGGAUCUGAACCUGGUUUGGCAUCCGGACUCGGGUACGGGUCUCUUCCCGGGUCGGAAUGUGGUUUUACUUCCAAGGGUGUGGUUGAGAUCAUGGAAGUAAUGGCAUUACCGUUUCCUCCAAACUCCAUUAUAAAAUCUGAAUCAACAGAACAAAAAAUUUGUUAAAAAUUAAACCUUUUAUAAUCAUUCACUAAUGCAUGCAAAAAUCUCUCAUUUGGAUAAUGUUUUCAUUUGUAUUUUUUGGGAAUUUAAGCGGAAAACGGAUAGAUUUGAGACUCACCUGAAGAGACUAUAGAACUUAUUGUUUCAGUGAAGAGUAGUGUGAGAGAUGAGAUUGAUAUUGAAGAAGAGGGAGAAAUAGAAAGGAUAGUGGUGAUGAUGUGUGUGCAUCUGUUUCCUAUCGCCCAUCAAGUUUAUUUCACAUGAAAAUCCAACAAGAUUUAGGUUUUUUAAUUAUAAUUAAACCUACUAGAGAGAGGUGGUGGUGCCUCUUAAUUUAGAGACAUUGUCAUAUGUUUGUUAUCUCUCACCACCUGCAACUUUGGCCCAUCUCCCAUUAUUGCAUCUGCCUUCUCUAUUUCUCCAUUUUCUUUUGUGAUGAUGGUAUUGGUGUUACUAAUUAAUGUGUGUCUGCAAAAAACUCUAGCUUAGUCAAACUAUUACCAAGUAGUAAAGACUUUUGGGGUAGGAGGAGAGAUGAGAAGUAACUAUUACCAAGUACUCCUAGUAAAGACUGAACUAACUAAAUGCAUUAAUUUUUUACUAAAAAAAAAUACUUGUACAAUGUAUGUCGAUCUUAAUACACUCUCAUAAUAAUAUUUCUACUUAUCAAGCGUCACAACUUAUCUAUCCGAUUUAGUUAAUGUUGCAAUAAAUAUGAGAAAAGUAACAUCAACAACUGUGGUGUGGCGUUGGGGUUUGCAUGGAGUAUUUACCAGAGCUUCAAUUUCCCAUACGAAAUUAGGGUUUUAAAUAUGGACAUUUAUAGGUUAAGCAUUAACAGUAACUAAUCAGAGUUAAUCAUAGUCUUGAAAGAGAAGACAUAUUUAAUUAUUUUUCCGGUGGGGAUGGUUGAGGAAUUAAAGCAUGAAAGAGUGUAAAGAUGGUCCACAUAAGCACAACACAAAGACCUGCACUUUUAUUUAUCUCCACAUGCCUCUUGUCUUGUUUUCAGAUUCUUUGUUUCCCACAGUUGUGUUACACUUUAUGAUGAUCUUCUUAUUUACCAAAUAUUUGAAAUCAAUGAAAAUCGAUUUGCCAUAUAGUACAAACUUUCAAAAUCGAUUUGACAUCUUUAGACUUUAGUUUAGAUUUUCUUAAUACGAGUAAAUUGUCUCCGUAAGGAAAACUCCCCCAAGUCAAAGAAAAUGUUGCUUUUUUUUUGUUGGGGUAAGUUGUUGCUUGUUUAUCGUAUGUGACAUUAAAAAAGGGAAAAUCAGAUCCAAGCUUUCUGAUUAACUAAUUGGGCCGGUUGAAACAUCGAGUCAAGCCCAACAAAAGGCGGAUAUACAGAAUUGGAACCAAGCAAAAUGAAACCAGAUAUGAUACAUAUUUCCACAUUAAGGGUUACAAGUUACAACAAUCACAGGCAUCCUCGAAAUCUUCAAUUUCGGUGGAAUAAGGUUAAAGUACAAAUAUGGUUUCCCUCGCGUGCUAUAACUUGCAACAAAAAAAGGGAAGAAAGAACAAGUGAAGCUUUGAAUAGAAGGGAAGAUAAAGUGGUGGGCGCGAAAUAGCUUCUUCGUCACAGGAUCAGAUUACCUAGCCGACCAAGAACAAGUGGGUCUUGUGUAUGAAACGGUCCCAGAUCAAUUACAAUCAUUGAGAAGCUUCAUUGAGAAAAGGAUAAUACCAUCAGUCAUCUUACUAGGGUCAAUGCUCGAUAUACAAGAUACAGCAAGAAAAGAAGAAAAAAACGCUAGCUUUAUAAAUUUUGUGAAAUUAUAGAAUCUAUUCCAAAUAUCAAAAAAGCUAUUAAACCAUAAGCCGUAUACCAAUUCAAGAAACUAAACUUCAAAUAAAUGUUGAACCAAACUAUCAAGCUUGAGAACACUAUACAGAAUCAACCUUGUCUAUAUACAUAUCAAUCAUUAAUCAUAAGUCAUAUACCAAUUCAAGAAACAAACUUUAAACCUAAAUAUCAAGCUUGAGAACACUAUACAGAAUAAACCUUGUCUAUAUACAGAUCAAUCAAUAUUAAUCAUAAGUCAUAUAUCAAUUCGGGAAACUAACUUCAAAUAAAUGUUGAAGCAAACUAUCAAGCUUGGUAACACUAUACAGAAUCAACCUUGUCUAUAUACAUAUCAAUCUAUGGCAGGGAAAUAUUAUUAUUACCAGUCAGAUGAAUGUGUUGUUUUUUUUCAAUGCUACUUGGACAGUUUGGUCUUAGAUGUCUUCUGAGACUCGAUUAGUCUCCACAUGUACCAUGAACCAACGGACCUGUAAGGUCGCCAUUUCUCACAAAGUUGCUCAAUCUGCAAUGGACCAGGAAGAUUUUUCAAACCGUAAAGAUCUUUCACACCUUUCCUCACACCAAGAUCUCCCACAGGCAAAACAUCAGGCCUAUGCAACGAGAAGAUCAUGAACAUGUGAACACUCCACACUCCAAUUCCUUUGACCAACGUUAAUCGAUCAAUAAGCUCUUGGUCGCUCAUUUCGAGAAUCAUCUCAUCGGAAAGCACGCCGCUUGUGUAUUUACCGGCUAAAUCGUGGAGGUAGCUAGCUUUCCUACCGGAGACGCCGAUCUUACGAAGAUCAACGGCGGAGAUUGAGGUAACUGCUUCAGGGAGGACACCUGAUUCUCCGCCGUCGAAUAGAGAGAGGAAUCGAUCGUAGAUGCAUUUCGCUGCUUUGGUGGCGAGUUGUUGGUAGAGAAUGGAUCUCGCCAGGGAGAGAAACGGAGUGCUGCUUGAUUCGAACGCCGGUGGGUUGUUGUGAGCUGCGAUUACGGUUCCGAGCACUUCAUCGGAGGUCUGUAGGUGGCGGAGGGCGAUAUCAAUCGUCGAUUUGGACGAUAGAGGAGACGCGGUGAUCAUCAUCGGCGACGAAUCGAGAGGAACUGACGAAACUUUCCUGAUUUUACGGGGUCGAAAUGUGAUUUUAGAAGAAGAGGAAGAACGAGAGGGCUCUGAGAUUUCGGCGGCAAUUGAGGAAUCCGGCGGCGAUGAAGGCUGAUUCACGGCGUUUAGGGUUUGACGGGUAGACAUUGCGGCGACAGAAUUGGCCAGUGGUCCGGUGAUCGUAAACCUCAUUAACUUCAGACUUAGAAUUUACCAAAUUCUUAAUUGGGCAUCAAGCAGUAUCGAUGGGCCCGUUAGUAGCCCACCAACUCUUUUUGGGCUCUAUUGCACUUCUAAUGUACGUUUCGUCGAUAUGGACAAACGACUUAACAGUUAACAUGUUUGUUUUACAAUUGUCGAUGUCCAGUGAAACGGCUUCAUUUCGUAAUCGUAGGCGAAAAGUUUCAGCGACGGAUUACUAGUGUCAUUACUUAAAACAUUUCUAAAAGUCUCAGUUUUUCGUAAGUUUAAUCGUUAGUUGAUGAAAAUGUCGUAGAACUUACAACUAGGAAACAAUUAUGAUCAACAUACGUUGAUUUUUGGUACAUGGGAUAUAUAUAACGAACAAGAAAACAUAUUGGUGGUCGAUCAUCAUAGGUAUGUUCAGCUGGUUAUGGUCAUAAAUUGCAGACAGCGGUUUGUUUUUCUCACACGCUUUAAGUGCAACUAAAUUCUUAACUGGCCCAUUGACUAGCCCACCUACACUGAAAAUUUAUGAUCGCGCAAGAGAAAGUAAAAAAAAAUAUCAUUUGUUAUGGUUGAGAUUGAAAAAAAGUUGAAUAUAUGUCGACGACGACUGGAUAGCAAAUAUAACUAUAAUAAUAAGAUAAUUUUUGUGUGUGUGUGUGAUCGUGCAGAGUAGAUUAAAAGCUGGUGGAAUUAGUACAAACAAUGUUGCAGAAUCGGUUCUGUAAAAUCGGAAAACUAAUAAUAAAAAGAAAGGUUAAAAAAAUAAUGCAAAUAUUCUGUUGAGCGCAUAUUGACACGAACAAAAGGUCAAGAAAGAGGUAAAUAGAAAAGGACAAAACGACGGUCAAAAUAUAAAGGAGAGAAGGAAACAGAGCAUAAUACGACAAAAAUAAGUUCAUUAAAUCACUACAAUGCUCUGAUCCAAACUGAAACACAACAGUACCCAGACAUGAGUAAACCCACAUUGGUACGAUCAGAAUCUAAUCUCCCAAUUCGACGAUCAGAUUUCAAUCUUCACUACCAAAAUUUUAUUUAUUUUUACUUAUAUCAUCAACCAGUAAAAAAAUAGCAAUAAUAAUUAAAGUCUCAGUUGUGAAUUUCAGGGACUCAGGUGGAACUGAAACUUCUCCGUUCAACCAAAAACUAUAUACAUUAAAAGAGUUAUAUCCUAUGUCUGCGUUUUACUUAUGUACAUCUUUUCUUAUAUUUUUUUUUCUUUUCUAACACUCGAAUGUUUUUUAUUACAUCACUAUGCGUGGAUUUGAUGUGUUAUACUUAUGUGUUCAUCACGCACACUGUUUCUUGAAUUUUAUUUAUUUAAAAAGACGAAGGCAGAGAAAAUUCCAUAAGAAGGAUGUUAAAUUUUGAAGAUAAAUAUAGAAAAUUUGUUUAAAAAUUGACUAGAACGGUGCUUUAUAGAUAAACCAUAAGUUAGACCGUCGCUAUCAGUACCAUCAACAUCAUCUCUCUAGAUAUACACUUCUACUCUCUUUUUUUUUCCAAACAUUUUCUUCUUUUUCUAAAAAAAAAAGAUAGACAUAAUAAAUAAUUAAACAACAUGGAAAUUUUAAGAAUCUAACGUCAAUUUUUUUUUUCUUUUUUUCAUCUAGUAAAGUCAUGGACAAGACUUGCUCUAUCCGCCACAUUAAGCCUCCACGAAAGGAACGGAGCACCGUCGGAAUCACCGUUGUUAGCUCCUCCGCCGCCGUAAUCAUCCAUGAACCUGAUCUCGUUUGCCGGAUAAUUGCACGGAACCCUCUGCGUCGUGUGAUGAUGACCCCACGAAGUACCAUUAUUAUUGUUGUUACUAGUGGCAAUGUUGUAAUUAUUGUAGCCGGAGUUGUGAUGUCCGUACUGAUCGGUUGCGACCGGUUGAGAUCCGACGACGCCGUUUCCUGAAGCCGCCGUGGUUCUUCUCUCUUCUUUCUUGAAACGAAUGCCGCAUGCGUUGCAUAGGGACUGUAAAUUCCAAAACCAUCCAUAUAUCAUUUAACAAUCAAUAUCAUUAUUUAAUGGCGUUUUCAAUAUUAUAUAGCUAUAGAGAAAUUAAAAUAUUCGAAAAAUAUACUCCUUCUCAUAUAUAAGGUCACAUUUGAAUUUUCGAAAAACUACAUUCAAUGAAAUUAAUGGAAAUCAAUCACCUUGUUUAACAAUCAAAAUCACUAUAUUUAAUGCUAUUUUCAACAGUAUAAUAUUGGUAAAAAAAGGAUGAAAUGUUUUUUUUUUUUUGGCAAUAUUUGUUUUAUUUGUUGAUUACUCGGAAGAAGUUGCAUUUUCAUAAUGAUCUAAUGUAAAGAAAUUACCUUAGGGCCUCUAGGACCAUUCCUCCAUAGUGGAGUAGAAGUGGUAUCACAGUUGGCACAGCGUCUGGCGAGGAGAGAGUCGCCGCCACCGCCGUUACCGCCGGAGCAGCCGCGUGUUGGCUUGAUGGGAUUAGCAGAGGGGAAAGAAGGGACGUCGCUAUACGCCGUCGUUUUGGAGUUGUUGUUGUUUUUGGUGUGAAGCAAGUCCCAGAAGUUGGAGAUGCAAGAGGAAGCACCAGUGGAAGUAGAGCGUCUGCGUUUCUCGUCCUCCUCGCAAAGCCUCGUCGAAGGAGUUCCAAGUGAAAGAGUGCAGUCAACGACGGAGGAAGAGUAAUAAUCCUCACCGUUCUGCUCGAAAACGCCGCCGUUUUGCAUGGAGAAUACCAUCGAGUAAGAGCCGCCGUUUGAGUUGGAGGUGUUGUUGUAGCAGCAGCUUUGGCUAUGGUGGUGGAACAUUCCACAAGAAUGACAAUAUUGCCCUUGCGUUGAAGUAUUGUACGGAGUCUGCAUCAUCUCUCUCACUCUCUCUUUUUCCUAACUUUGAAAACCCUAAGUCUCAAUUAAAAGAACCGAAAGAUAAUAUGAGGUGAUAAAUUUAAGUUGCAGGUUUUCACGUUGGAGUGAAGUGAAGAAUGGAGAAGAGGGUCUCACAGCUAUAUAUAGAAUCAGAAGUGUAUAUGCAGGUUUUUCGUAAAACGAAUAUUUAAAAUCAAUAGAAUAUGUGGGGACGCAGCUUUUUACGAAGUAAUUUAAAUUUAUAGUAUCAUUUACUCAUAUGGUGGUUUGCUUGCUUUUUAUGUUUUUUAUUUUAUUACAAAAUACGAUGAUACUAUCAAGUUUCUUUAGACAGCUAAGUUAAAAGAAAUUAGUAUUUUAAUCACUGUUUAUAGUUUCUAAUUACAUCACACAUGCUUGCUCUAUAUAGAAUCUCUGUGAUGGCGUUGAUAAUUUAUUGAAUCAAAAUAGACUAUUUCAAGUUAAUUUGCUUAUCUUUUUUAUAUUCUGUUUUCAAAAAAUAAUGAUAUUAAUUCCUUAAGGACGUGUCUUAGCAUUUAGACAAAAGGACAAUAAGCUACGGAGAUUGACAUGACACACAUUAUAAAAAUACCAAUAGAAUAUAGAACAAAUACAAUUAGUGGGGUUUCUAGUAUAGUUGAGUGAUUCACCGAGAAGAUUUAAAAAAACUUAAGGUUUGAACAUCAAUUGUAUUCUUCAUUGGCCACUGCAUCGAAUCUUGUAUAUAACACUACUCGGCUCUUUCAAACACCAAGAGAAUUAGUAUGGAUUUUUAUUUGAUAUUAUCCAUCUAUAAGAAGAAGAAAUCGCACCGAAAAUAUAAGUUACAAAAAUUGAACUGUGUAGAGAAACUUAUUCUGAGCAAAACUAUGAGCUGGUCGAUGGAUGCAAAUUUCGACUGUAAUGGUAAAUUUAAGACGAACACAUUUGGUAACAUAUGCUAAAAUGAAAUCAUUCAUUUUAUGUCGCUUCCAAAUACUAUACAUCAAACUUUUAUUUAAAUAGAUACGAUUGAUCUUUAGGUUAAUAAAUGACAAGGCGGGGUCGGAUGAAAAACAUACAAUUUUUGGACCCUCAUACUUACAACUCUUGUUAAUUCGUUAUAGCUUUUUAAAGCAAUUAUUAUGUCACUCACACACGAAUGUUUACUAAAUAUACAUAAUUGUAAGAAGGAUUUGAAAAUUAUCGGUUUUAGUGGAGAAGAAAUAUUAAAGCAUGCAACAAAAAAAUCGAAGAAGAAGGAGAGAGUGAUGUGAUGUUGAUGGUCACUGAAGAAGGGUGGUCAAAAUUUAGCCCACGUGACAAGGGGGAGAGAGAUAGAGAAGAGGAAGAAGAGUACAGUCAUCACUGCAAAAAAAUCUCCGAUCACGAGGCUCAAUUUUUGAUUUUUUAUUUGUUCUCUUCCAAUAUAUAAUGCUAUAAACCUCUGUCUCUUUCCGUAUCUCUGCCCUAAAACCCUGAAUCGCACGCGCUCCUGCCCACUCGCGCGUGGCCUCGUCCUUUUACUUCCACAUCGCCAUCACACGUUCGAUAUCUGCUCAGCCUCAUGUGGUUAAUGAUGAUCCAUGAUGAUGUAAGUAAAAAUGACUUAGAUUUGGUUAUUAGAUUUCCUCAAAACUUGUAGCUAUAGCUAGGCUCUACUCUACUCUUGUCGUCAACGAAUACUAGUCUUCGUCCCAUAUUUAUUAAUCGAUUUGUAUGUUUGUGCUUUAAUUAAUAAAAACCCACCAUUUCUUCAAAACAUGGACUCGAGAUUUUUUGUUACGUUUGUAGAUAAAUGGUAGGAGAACAGCUUCAGUUAGAUAUGCAGUCGUGGUGGGGGGAUCCAUCAUUUAUGUACUUCUCUUAAAUAAGAUUAUAAAUAUUUUAAAAUGUAUUUAUGCCAUACAACUGAUAUCAUCAACAUUACUGACAAUAACCAAAAAAUUAUAGACCAAAAUUUCAAAAUUUCUGCGGUUUGCUUGAAAAAAAAAGUAAUAUAAUAUGCCCAUGUCAACAUAAUCCAGUUAUAUGUGUUUACGUUGUCUUGUUUUUGAACAAUAUAUUUAACGUUGUUAAAAACUAUUUUUAGUCAUGAGAAAUAUUGCACUUCUACAUGAAAGUUUCUAUCUUAUAAAAGAAAAAGCAAACACAAAUAUGAGUGUGUUUUUUUGUCAAAAAUAUGAGUAUUAAGAUGUAUGUGAGCAAUUGAGGAUGGUGUGAAAAAACGUAUCCAAUUUUACCAGUAAAAACAUAUUUUCAUAUGUAAUUAAGUAAAUUUUGGAAAAGGAUUUGGGGCCAUUGAUCCAUUACCCAACAAAAUAGAUCAGUCCCUGGUAUCAUGUGAAAUGUCACAUAAUUUAGGUUGACAUUAGUUCAACGAAGGAACAUCGUAAGCUAUAUAUAGGUUUAAUUAGAACCACAAUGUUUUGAAUCGAUUUAUUUGGAUAACACUGGGUGAUCCGAAAGAGUGCGAUGUUCACCUUGUAUUGUAAUUAAGUCAACAUAACCAGUCGGUAACAAAUACGAGUCCGACAAAAAACAACCUAUCGGGUGUUCAAAUGUGCCAAAACCAAUAUCUGUGCAAGUAUGUGGUCGAUGUCUUUCUAAACUUAAAGUUGGAAAAAUACAUGUUAUUAACAAAAAAAAGUGAUCGAAAACAACGUCGCGUAUGGCUUAAUAAUGAAGACAUUUUACGUAUUUCAUAUAUGUGUAUUUCAUUACAAUCUCGUUUAGAAAAAGAAAUGAGACGCUUAUAAAAUAUUCUUUAAGGGAUUAGAAAAAUACAACAAUUAUAUAGAACAUCUUCUUUAACAAAAAAAUAUAGAACAUCUUCAGAUAGUUUAUGAUAUUAACGUUAAACAGAAAAAGCCUUCAACGGUCUCGUUAGAACGAAUCAUGGUCGUAGUAUAGUUGAGUAACGUAUCGAAACCCUAUGAGAAUCAAAUUCCUUGUGUGGUUUUUAAUAAAGAGAAUACGAAGUUAGAAUCAUAAUGACAUGAGAAUAUCCAAGAAGAUUUGGAUGAGUUUAGAGUAACAAGAAAAAUAUUGCAUGAAAAGAAAAGCUAAUAGAUUAGAUUGUGAAUAACCCAAAAGAUAAAGGAAGAAUCCCCUCUAUUCAAGUGAAGUACCUUCCUACAAUCAUCAAAGCAACACUCCAAUUAGCCUAUGCAUACACAUGUAUGAGCUAUAGAUCUCCUUUUUAUAUUUAAAUAAUAUUUUUCUCAGUUUUCAUGUUAUCUUAGCUUAGCAAGAGAGAGAUUCGGCUCUUGAAUCUUGAUGGGUCAAAGAAGGACUCUCUAAAAAGGAAAGGUCAAAAACUAAUAAUACUCCCCAUAAAUUUGAUCUUGAACUAGUGAAAAGAAACAAAGAAAAAGCUAUUGGACCCACCUCUUAAAAUCAUUAUACCUAAUAGUAAUACCACAUGAUAACUUCUUUUUUCUCUAUAGCCAAAUUAUAAUGAUACGCUAUGAAGAAAUGCUUGUAUAUGUUUCGAUAGAUAAUCACAGAAGGGUUUCUUAUUCUUAAUCUCUGAAAAUUAUAACUUCCGUUGAGUCCAAUAGAUGAAAUUAUGUUUCUAUUUUAUUUAAAAUUAAAAUAGACAAGAGAUGAAAGAAGAUCAGAGAGCGAGCUUGUAGUUUCGCAAUCUACCUAUCAAUUCCUAACAUUUAAGAACAACAUUUAAAAAACAGUUUUAGCAAAAACAUAAACAAAAAACAUUUGAAAAACAGGAAAUUUAAAAAUAAAAAGGUGAAAAUCAGAUCGUCUUGAGAUUGCCGAACUUAGUUCGACUAACGGGACGACCACCACUUUCCAAAAGAUGCUCUGUCGAACGUUUGUAUUUAAACAAUUUAAAACUCUAAUUAUUGUACGUAAUUUAUAGUAAUUUUGCUAAACUCGAAAUUGUAAAACCGUGAUUACCCCGAGACACAAAGCGUUACGUUUCGCCACUACAUGCAAAGCUACUUACAUCUCACGCGACCCAACCAUCCGUGAUCAAUACGCCCCCAUCCAACCAUAUGUUUCUUUAACUCACGGGCUUAAACGGCGCGUUGUUUUAAAUAUUGAUUUUGAAUAAACCAAACAAUUCGCUAAUGCCCAUAAAUAAACUACGUAUAAUUAAUUUUAGGCACGAGAUCGGCUUUCCGUAAUUAUACCCCGGGAUUUGCUUUAUAUGGAAUUAUUUUAAUUCAAUGAUAACACAUAAUCACUCACAUAAUUUAAAUUCUUAAUUUUACCUUAAUUUCCCCAUGAUUUAAUUAAGUUUCGAUAUAAAAUAGCAUACUCCUUUAAUCACACACGGGGCGUGUUUAAUGAACACAAAAUAAGACAUUUGCCUUAUGCCUCCUUAAUAUUAAUCAAGUUUUAGGACUCUUAAUUUUUUGUAUUUUUAUUUAAUAUAUUAAUUAAUAUGUAUUUUUGGUGUUAUUUUUUAUGGUUGAAAAUUCUUAUAAUUUAAAAAAUAGCACUAGUAAUCUUUAAUAUUUCAUAAAAUAAUAUUUAAAUCUGAUUUACAGCUUAUAUCUUUUUAGAAAUAAUUAUAGUAAAAUAUACUCUCUUUGUUCCGGAAUAGAUGAUGUUUUAGAAAUUUUACUCUUAUUAAGAAACAAUAAAUAUGUGUUGUUUUUAGCUAUUUUUUUAUCUUUUCACUUUCUAAAAUUUGUUUUUCACAUACUUAUUAAAUGCUCUAUAAUCAUUAUGAAUGAAUUUUAGCUCCAUCACUUGAUACUAUUGGUUUGUUUACAAAUAAAAAUUUAUUACUUCAUAAUAAUUAAAUAAAAUAUAUUAUUAAAUUUUUCUUGUAAACUGUAAUAGCAUUAAAUAUUUCUAAAACAUCAUCUAUUUUGGAACAAAGAAAAAUCCUAAAACAUCAUCUAUUUUGGAACAGAGAGAGUAUAUUUUUUCUUGUCAUUUGCCUUAAACCUCUAACACUCUAAGCACGACAUUGAUCACACAUUUCUAAACUGUUCAAUACAUUUAAUAUUUUAAUCAUAUCUUUCUAUUUAAGAAUGAAAUUUCUAAACUAGGCUUAAAGGAAGACAAACUUGCUCAGGAAAACCACAAUCUUAAAAUUGAAAUUUCUUUAUGCGCACAUCUAGUUGUUUUAACGAAAAAACAUCUAACUUAUUCAGCUAAAAUUUACAGCUUACAUUUCAAUUUAUACGUAUUAACAAUCUGUGUAUGUAAGAGUUUUAUAGUAAAAAAAAAGAACAAUCAAACGGCUAUACGAAAAACAAAAAGAAGGUAAGGAAGACACCGGCUCGUAGUCCGGUAUGAGAGCAAUAAAACUACACGGUGUUUGAUGAUAAUGCAAAUGCAAAUGAUGAUGAUGUUGGCUUCGGUGGAUUCGGCAGGACCCACAACGUUGCCAAAAAGUUUCGCGAGUUCCGAGAAACAUAAAAGCAAGAGAGAGAGAGAGAGAGAUCGUAAAAUUUUGGUGACGAUGAGUCGAUUACUUGUGAAUUAAUCGCUUUGUCGUUAAUCAGGGUGCCACGUGGAUAAAGCCGCGAGAUUUAAUUCUCCGCAUGCAUGCAUGUAAAGCAAUCAAAUGAUAAGUCACUAAACGACUAAGUUUAAUUAAUGUUUAAUUUAAUAUAAUAUGUGUUGGUUUAGGAGUCGUCUUGGUCACAUUAAUAAAAAAACGGGACAUUCCUCAAAAGUUACAAAACACGACUGGAAUGUUUCUUCUCUCUGCCCUUUUGAUGGAUUCUGCUUUCUCUCUUUUUUUUUUGAAAAUUCUGUUUGUAUGGUAUGCGUUCUUAAAAAACGAAAAAUCAUUAUAGGGGCUAACUAAUAAUGCUUUCUACUUUUAUAGUAUCAGAUACAUACAAAAAUAUUGUGAAAAAUAUUGUGGGCUAUAUAAGUAGUUUAGUUAACAGAUCAAUACUUUUUUUAUAACAAAAUAAGGUCUAAAUAAAUGGAUUGGUUUUUGAUGGAGUUUAUUAAUUAUUAUAGAUUUUAGACUGGUAUUCUAUGGCAAAAUGUACUUAAAACAAAGUUUUAAUUCGUGGAAGUUGUUAUAGUUUCCAUUUGCAGUCACUUAUAAGAUGUUUGGAAAUUAAUGAGUAUUAAUUUUGGAAAAACAAAAUUUACCACCAAAAUAGGUAUGAGGACUUACUGUAUUUUUGUUUCUACUUAAACGAAUUAGUUGGAAUUUUAGAAGCCUAUAUACACACAAUAAAACAUGUCCCUCGAUUUGUUUUUUUUUUUUUGUUAAACGGUUAACUAUAUUAAAUUAUAAAUAUAACAAUACAAAUUCCAGCUGUCAUAUGUUAAGACCAUAUUUUGUUUUUGUCUACGGCUCCUGUAACCUCAUGUUGUCCCCUCCAAAGCGUCUCUUCACAUUUCCUAAGGAUUCAUGUUAUUGUUAUGAGGUCUUCGCAGAUUUUAUAUACUAAAAAGUUUAAGCUAUAUGUUGUAAGUAAUAUGGUUGACUGGAAUAUAGGCCUAGCUCCAUAUUUUCUUAUUGUUCUGAAACACAAAUUAUCUUAAACAAACAAAUAUAUCAAAUAUAAUUAACAAUCUUGGUGUUGGUAGAAUAUAAUCCUGUACUCAAAAUUUUACUAAUUAUGUAAAAUAAUUAGUAAACUUUAAGUAAGCCCAAAAUCAUUUACGUAAAAUAAAAGAUGUAAGUUUGAUAUAUUUGAAAAUCUUAGGGGGUAAAGUCGUAAAGGAUGAAUGAAUCAAUCGCAUUUUGCAAACCCUUGUUUCCAAAAUGAAAAAAAAAAAACAAUCGUCUCUUAUUCGUUUAUAGGUAAUGGAUAAAUCAAUCGCAUAUAUCAAAUGAGAUAAAAGAGACAGAUGCACUAAAAAAAAUUUAGAAACAAAUGUGGGAGUGGUCCAAUGUAAGUGAAAAGGGCAAAAGAGGAAAAAGAAAAUGGUUGGACCAACUAGAGGAAUGCCCCAAGAUUGGGAGAGGUAUCAAUCAUGAUACAAAAAGAAAAACAUGAGAUAUGUAUACAUAAAUAUGAUCAAAGGUGGUCACUUUGGUCCAUGGUACAUCUUUGCUAGCUUGACCAAUUCUUCUAGGGCUAAUGUAUACUGUAUUUGAUUUGUUGUAUCAUCUUUACCCAACAAGUUUCUCUUUUUAUAUAUAUAUAUAUUUUUUUUUUUGCUGUUAACGUUUCCCAAUCACUCCACUUUGAAUCUUCCACUUAUAUUCUUUUGUCUUCAACACAACACAAAACUUUCAACUUUUUUCUUGUUCUUGUAGCCCAAUAGCUUUGGAGCAUAAAGAGGGAAACACUCCAUCUUAACUCGGAUAAUCGUCGAAUUAUUGUUAAUAUUUAUUUUAUUUUUGAUCUCCCAAAACUGUUUCACCGCUAGUAAAAAAAAGAUGUAUGUACAAUGAUAAUUGAUCAUUAUAUUAGGCUAGACGAAUGAAUUACUGUUGAGAUAUAUACCAUCAUUUGGUUAACCAUUACAAACUUUGGAUCAACGUAAAAACAUUUUGUAUUUUUGCAUAUUCAAAAGUAUAGAUACACAUACACAUACAUAUCUCUAUUGGGUAUGAAAAAGGUCAAAAGCCUGUAACUGGAAAAUGCAGGAUGGAUCAUAAGAAUUUCAAAAGGCAGAAUGAUAUUUUGAUAUGAAUUGGCACUUCAACCAUUUUCGAAUCUUCUGUCUUCCCCCAUCGAAUUCCGUUUUGACUCUUUUUACAAUGCACGCCGUUCGGCGUAUUCGUACUUCCUCCUAAUAUAUAUAUUACCUUUUAGCCCCUCUACUAUCUAUUCUAUCUCCUUCAACCCACAUAAACUAAAAUGGUCACCAAUUGACGCUUAUAGAUCUCAACUUCUGGCCGUUUUUUAUAUUCAUAAACUGCAUCCAGUUCAACUUCACCAUUGCGAUUCACAGGCCCAUGUUAGACCACUGAAGCCCAUGACCCAUGUAACCACCAUUUCAUGCUCAAAAAGCAAGAGAAGACUACUACAGUUCGUAUAAACAAACACCGAAAAGAAGAGUUGAAUUACAAAGGCUUUGAAGUAAUUUCAAUAUUCAACUGACUCUUUCUCUGUCACCGUUGAAAUAAGGUAUGAAGCUAACGACCACGCCACCCGGAAACAGACUUCGGGACAAGCGAAAUCGAGUUCGAGGCAGCUUCUAAUCUGCACAAUGCGCGAAAGAAAAAACUGUUUACUUCCACACCACAAAAGCAGACAACACUAGAGGGAGAGAGAGAUGGAGAGAGAAGAGAGAACUACUUUGAUAUUUCUUCAACAGCCUUCAUGACUUCCGCGGAACUAGUUUCAAGUACCUGUCCUCCAAACACAAUCUCAUCUAACACGGCAUGCAUCUGCAACAUGUGGAAUAAAUUAAAGAAAGAAGAUGACUCAACGUCCUAAUACUACGCGCUUUUGUUGCAUUUAGUUAUCCCAAAAAAGCGUCCAAACGAGUAUGCAGCACCAGCUUUUUAUUAUAAUACCGUAUACAUGACGGUAAAACACUAUUCUGUGUAAGACUAUUACCUUGCUGUAGUUGAACACAAUGUCGAGUUCGCAGACAUUACUGAAGCAUUUGUCAAGUGUUUCAACAAGAACUGCCAAUGCAAGAAUCAAACUGAAGUCAUCAUACAAUAGAAUUUACAUUUUCACAGCUUUAAAGAAAAAAAGCAAAUGAGCAGAAGAUUUGGCAACGAUUCAUAUCUUCAACAUCAUCCGUGACUCGAUAUAGUACUCGAGCCAAUUAUGUCUCUUAUUCAGAUUUGGCUAAGAGUUCAUGAUUAUAGUACUCGAGCCAAUUAUGUCGCUUAUUCACAAAAAGGAAAACACUCUACCACCGAGAUCUGAUUAAAGAGUAUCAAGUAUCGAGCCAAACCAUUACCAACCCAAAGAAUUUAACAUCAAGAGCUACGUUAACCACAUCCUAUACAUGCUAGCUGAUCGGGCACACUAUCCAGACACAUUUGUACUUGAUUCAUGGCAAAAAGCUCUAAUGAAAGAGUUAAGACAAUGCACUAUUUUACUACUCAAGAUUCUGAUUCCUACAGUCUCUGUUUCUAUAUUUUACAUCCUCGAAGCUGAUUGCAAUCUCAGACUCCUCUUAACAUCUACUUACUGAGACCUAACACAAUAACUUUUAUCGGAAGCUCCAGAGGGAAGACGUUGAUUUUAGCAAAAUCUCCGUUUGCAAUAUGAUAUCUAAGAGAAAAAUUGGUGUACGCACCUUGAAUGAGAUCAAGCAUGGCGAGCUCAUUUUCCGAACCAUCAAAAACAAGCACAACGUAGAGAGUAGCAUAGUGCUUGUAUACAAGCCGAGAGUCCUGCAAACAAUAAACAACAAUACAUAAUAAUAAGUCGCCAAAAAAAUUUGGGAUACACUAAACAAUUUUGUUGUUGUUGUUUCUGUUGAGUAACCAAGCAUUGAAAUUACAUAGUAUUAUCAUGAAGGAGCCAUUACCGGGCCAAACAAUGAAUUGAUCUCCAGAAAAUUGCUUACAUUCUCAGGUCUACUGCACAAUACUGUAACAAAUUGAUAAAAGAAAAAUCAGAAUCGCAGCUUCUAGCGAUCGUAACAAAGACCAUAUAUAGCACACGAUCGACGGAGAUCUUAGAAACAUAAGACUAUAAAAACGUUCAGGAGCAUGGAUUCGUAGAUGCCGAGGUGAUUGUUGAUUGGAAUCUGGGAAAAUUCGAGGAUCAAAUGAGAUAAAGAGAGAAGGAUAAACCUGAAAAUACUCCGCGUAUGAGCUCUUGUUGCUUCUCUACAGGCUGAAACCAAAAUCCCAAAAUGAAAAACCCAAGUUGAGAAUCGGUCACUAGAGAUCGAAGAAACCAAAAAUUGAAAAACAAUAUAUCAACAAGCAUCGGACCAAGAAAUCGUAGAAUUUCGCUAGCCGUGGUUUGCCUUGUGUGUUCAUCAUCAACACUGCCUUUAUCAUUUUUCACCUCCUUCUUUCUCUCUUUCUCCGUCUUCGCCGAAACUCUCGAAAACUCCGAUCUCACAUAUUCAACCAGUAACCUUCCGUCUAAAGCAGAGGCUUAUUCCGAAUUGUUAUUAUAUAUAACAUCAUGACUAAUGGGAACUUCCCACGUGUAAACAAAUUCGAAAUGCCCUAAUUUAAAUGUGGGAUAGAAUCGGCGCCGUCGCGAGGAUUUGGUCAAAUCAAUGGUUACUGACACUCUCCGAGAAGAUGGUGGAGAAGAAGACCACACGAAAAUGCUUAUAAUCGACGGUGCAUCGGAGCUUCAGAUGUGCCGGAUCCACUCGAUCGAAUCAACGGUUGUGAUUCGUCAGUUACCGUCUCAAGGCAUCUCCUUCAAGCUCUGGCUUCCUGCAACAACUCUCGUCACGCUUCUCGAUAACUACCGUCGUGACCCAAUCAACAGCCCUCUCACUCGCACACUCUCGAGUUUCACAUCGGACGGCUCAGAUUCUUCUACGCGGCUCAACAUCGUCGAGCUCGGAUCCGGAACAGGGAUCGUCGGAAUCGCUGCGGCCGCGACGUUAGGAGCCAAUGUUACAUUGACGGAUCUCCCAAACGUUAUCGAGAAUCUCAGAUUCAACGCCGACGCGAACGCUGAAGUCGUGGCUAGAUCCGGUGGGAAAAUCCACGUGGCGGCUCUCAGGUGGGGAGAAGAUGGUGACGUGGAGGUUUUGGGUCAAAGUGUUGACUUGAUUUUAGCGUCUGAUGUGGUCUACCAUGAACAUCUUUACGAGCCUCUCCUUAAAACGCUGCGUUUGAUGCUCUUAGGAGGAGAUGAUAAAAAAGAAGACUCAAAGAGAGUGUUUCUUAUGGCUCAUCUCAAGAGAUGGAAGAAAGAAUCUAUCUUCUUCAAGAAAGCUCGGAAGCUCUUCGAUGUUGGUGUUAUACACUGUGAUGAUCCUCAAGAAGGUUCUCGAAUCGGAGUUGUAGUUUACCGUUUUGCACCGAGAGAUCAUACCAUGAAGAAAUUUGUUUUGUCAAAUGUUGGUGAUGAAUGAAAACUGUUUCAUCCCAAUUCGGAGGCUUGAAAAGAUUACUUCUUUCUUUGUGUUGCUUAAAACAAUGGAAAUGGAAAACUUGCGAUACAGUAAAGAACCUGACUUUUUGUGAUCCAAUCAUAUCAUAGAGCAAACAAGAAAACAUUAUUUAUAUAUCCACUACUGGGGAUUUGAACCCGUGAGCCUUUGUUAGCAGAGAACUAAUUAAGUCAAUCAAAAAUUAGGUUGUCCGUACUGAGAAGGAAGUAAAGAGAGAAGGAAAGAAGAAAUGACUCUGGGACUGAUAAACGCGAAUCCAGUUGUGCAGGCUAAGAAGGAGCGGCUUACUCGUACACGAGAUCAAUACAGAGAUGAUGGGGUUGAUCCUCUCGAAAUAUAUGAUAUCCUUUCUUCUUCUUGAAUUUGGUUUGAUCAAUUCAGUUACUGAUUUUUGUUUCUGAUAUCUAUUCUGGAAUAUUGCUCUCUGUUUUUUUUCUUGGAGUUUUGUAUAUGUAUAUUUUGGAUUCUUUUGACGAAAAUAGACCAAAGUAUGUAAGAGAUAUAAGAGAUCCAGAACAUCCUUAUACCUUGGAGCAGCUAAGUGUUCUGUCCGAAGAUUCCAUCACUGUCGAUGACAAGCUCGAUCGCAUCCUGUGAGUUAUAUAACUUCAUCUUUGGUUGUUUUAUUGUUCAAUCUUUUUCUUUUUAUUUAGCGGUAUAACGCGAGUAGAUUAUCAGAAGAAAGUUUCUUUUUUUUUCAAUUGAUUUGUUAUAGAAAUUGGAUCCGAGUGUAAAAGGCCUUGUUGUGUUUACUUAUAUGAUCUUUAACGAUUGUGGCUGAGAUGUUUAACAAAAAAACAUUAAGAUUUGGCUGUGUGAUAAACUCAGGAUAACGUUUACACCGACGAUCCAGCAUUGCAGUAUGGCAAAUGUAAUUGGUCUGUGUUUGAGAGCUAAGCUUAAAGAAUGUUUGCCACUUCAUUAUAAGGUCAUAUAUCCUUUAAAGAAAAACUCUUCAAUCUUUUCUGAUUAUGACAGAUUCUUUCAAAAGCUUACUUGUUAUCUAUGUUUGAUUGUUUCUGUUUCGUUUUACUCAUAUUCAGGUUGAUAUCAGAGUCUCUCCUGGUUCUCACGCCGAUGAAGAUUCAGGUGAGGAGGUCAUAUAAAUGGUUCUAGCUGCUUAAGUCAUAUGCUUUCUAUAUAAAGCUUAGCAAAUUCAGAGCUUACAAUAAAAAAGAAUUAUACUUGUCCCUAGUUCUUAGAUAUAUUUCAGCUUCUAAUCUAACAUCACUGCAAAAUCUGGUUUUCUAUCUUUGUAUUCGUCAGAGAGUUGAUGUUCUUUUUCUCUGAACUUUGAUACCUUAGGGUCAUUUAUUGUUGCAGUUAAUAAACAGCUGAAUGAUAAAGAAAGAGUGAUAGCUGCAUUGGAGAAUCCUAAUCUUCGUCAGCUCGUGGAUGAGUGUAUCUUCUCCAAUGAGAUGUAAACAGAGCUUUGAUUUCAACUCUCUUGUACAAAUUUAUAUAUUCGGAAUUACAUUAUAUGCCUUAGAGACCGCUCUUGUCUUCUUUUUUAUUGCUAAUGUCACAACACACAUUUUGCGAUGCUAGACUGUUUGUAUCUAAUGAUUUUAAUCCGUAGUAAUUCAAAGGACAGUUGGUAGAAUUCUGCAAUUAAACCCUAUCAAAGCCAAUAAUAGCGUGGUGAACAAUGGACCAAUCUUUUUGGUUAAAUUUUAAUGAAUAGAGAAAACUCAGAAAAGGGUUGAUAGAAGGAAAAAUAAAUCAAUUGUCUUUUAAGCAUGGUUGAUAUGAUACAUUCAUACAUCUUGAAUAACAAAGUUAUGUACCAUCAAACUUUCAAAGCAUGAUUGAGCCUCUGAAAUCAUCAUCAUAUAUACAAACAAAAACAAUAAAUAUUGACCCACGAUAUCUUUGUUUCCGCAUUAAAAUCAUCAUUGGUUAAAGAAUUUGAGUAGUUUUAAUAUUCGAACAAACACAAGAUGAAAAAGAAACGGAAACGACUGACAGCAAGUUAUUAACAAAUGACUGUGACUUGAAAUUCCGGUUGUUCUUAGUUUUCUCAAUUUUAAUUUUUGGAAUCUAAUUUGAUUCAAGCCACUCCCAAGAACUUAAGUAAACACAAAAGACCAAAAAGAAUACCAAGAUAAUCUCAGACAUCUAGAAUGCAAGACAAUACUAAAUGACACUCAAAUGCAUGAAAAUGUCCAAAACAAGUAUACAAAAUGGAGUUUAAAACCUAGGAAAAUUAACUUUUUAAAACAUGCAAAAUAUAUGUACAACUAUACUAAAAAGGGGACGUGAUUCAUUGUUUCUUAUACUUUUUACAUGGUUUGUAAAGAUGUCUUGUAGUUAAUGAACUUCUAGUAAAAAAGAUCUGAAUUAAAACUUCAUGAAAGGCAAAUUUCUAUUUAUCUCUCUCAUGUCUUACAUGAACAUUGCAAAGCCAAUAUAGUGUAGUGAAUAAUGGACCAACCUUGAUAUUGAGCCAACAAACUCUUUGGUUAAGUUGUAGAAGACAAACUCUUACAACCAUAGAAAUUUUUUUUCUGACAUAAAUAGCAGUCUGUACUUGUCCUGUCUUGCAUUAAUCAUUCACAUAUCCUGUCCUGAUCAUGUAGAUUUCUGUUUUAUACUGUUAUGGAGGCUACUUUGGUGGUUGGGGUAAACAUUCAGUUGACCGUUUGUUUCUCUGACAAUGUCUUGUUAAUUUAAUCAACGAGUUAGUUGAUUUAACUAGUUGUUUGUCGACUAGGGUAUGAACACAGCAGUUGUUAGUUCUUUAAUAACCGAAAUUUUACUAAACUUUUUAAUGCAUAGAGAAAAACUCAGUAAAGACAAGGGUCGAUAGAAGGAAGAAUAAAUGAAAUGUCUUUAGAGCAUGAUUUGAAUGGAUGGGAUACAUAUCUAAUAUCUUGAACUAUAAUAUUUGCGUAGAAACAAACUUUCAAAGCAUGAUUGAGGAUUGGAGUCCAUCAUUAUAUAUACAAACAAAAACAAUAAAUAUUGAUCCACAAUAUCUUUGUUUCCGCGUUAAAAUAAGUGAAAAUUCCUCAGACUAGCCUUAAAGAUUGAUGUAUUGACAAACUUAGCCUAACAUAUUGAUCACCUUACUAGACUAACCUUAUAAAGUUGGUCUUUUACCAUUUUGUCCAAAUAGUCAAUAUUAUUACGAAAAUGCCAUUUUAAUUUAUUAUUUUUUUUAAAAAAUCGAUUUUUUUUUUUUAAAUUGUUUUAUUUUUUUUUUGAAAAAAAUUAUUUAUUAAAAAAAUGAUUUAUUAGUGCAAAAAAAUAAAUACAAAAACAAAAAAAUAACAUAUCUAAUAUGAAAAAAAAAACAUUAUCUCUCUCAUAUUUUCUCUCAUCUUCUCUCUCAUCUUCUCUCUCGCUUCUCUCUCGCUUUUCUCUAAUCCAGAUCUGAAUUUUUUUUUUUGCCGCAUUUCUUGAUUCUGGCGGUGGAUCACUCCUUUCUCGCCUCCGUCGAUCACAAGAAUCGUCCGAUGGCACGAGUGCACCUCUCACAUCCCUUUAGACAGCGAUUUUGUCCCUAUCAUCGAUCAUUGUCCUUCCCUCGAGUCUAGAUCCUUCUGCCUUCUACCACUGGACCGAAGACCUUCCUCUGGUUCUCCUCCAUUACUAUGAAGUCGCAGCAAGGUUCAAUCGCUUGGAUCUCUUGACGGCGGUGUAAGUUUUUUGGCGGCGGCGUAAGUUUUUUUGUAUAAACUGUAACCCUAAUUUUUUUCAGAUAAGUUUGGUAGAUAUAUUUGGAGAUCGAUAUUAUAUUUUUUAGUUGUAAAGUUCAUAAUGUGUGAUGGUAGAUUUAUUUGAAAACCGGUAUGUAGUUUGAUAGAUUAUUAGUUAUUUGAUUGUAGAUAUAUUUAGAAAACGUAAUGUGGUUUGGUAGAUUUAUUAGUUAUUUGGUGGUAAAAUUAUUUUAAAAAACGAUGUCGUUUGGUAGAUUUAUUAGUCAUCUAAUGAUAGACUUAUUUGUAAAACGAUGUGGUUUGGUAGAUUUAUUAGUCAUUUAAUGGUAACUUAUUUGAAAAAUGAUAUGUGUUUGGUAGAUUUAUUAGUUACUUAUGGUAGAUUUAUCAGUCGUAUAUAUUUGAAUUUUAUAUACGAAUGACACUAUUUGUUUAUUUUUUUCUGACAGGGCUUUGCCAUGGUGAACAAAUCUUUGAUGGGAUAUACAGCAUCGAUCCGACAUAUUUUACUAUGAAUUGUAGAUUUGUAUUUGGUAGAUUUGUUUUGAAAUAAUUGUAGAUUUAUUAUUAAAUUGAUGGUAUAUCUAUAUUUGAAUUUGUAAAAAUGAUAAUUAGAUUUUAAAUGAUAAUAUUUUUGUUUUCAAAUUAUAUUUGUCGUAAAACAUUGACCUAGACAUUUCACAUUUUUACCACAUUUGCAAGUAAUGUUAUUAUUCAAUUCAAUUUAUUUCUUUACUUUCACUAUGAUGUAUAUCAUAACUGAAUAAAAUUUUAAUCAAAACACAUGACUAAAAUCAUUUGACAUUGUGAUGUUGUAAGAGUUUAUGUAAAUAGAGUUAAAUAUAACAAAUAUUCAAAAAUAAAAAUCAAAAGAUCAUAAGUAAAGAGAUGGUUAAUACAAAUAUGACAUAUAUGUUCAAAGUUAAUAUGAAAAGCAAAGUUAUCUUAAAGAAAAGAUAUAUCAUAGAAAAAAUAUUCAUGUUAGAAAUUUUUGACCAUUGAUUAUGACAUCUAUAUCGUAAAGACCAAUAAUCAUCUGUGAUCGAAUCACAGUUAACCGACAUAAUCUAAGCAAACUCAUGCAAAGAAAACGUCAAUGGUAACAAGACCAAGUCAAUAUAACCAUGGAACAAGUCUACCAUAUGUAUGUACGAAACCUGUUUAACAUACGACACUCCAAAACAAGUCUACCACACCUCUGGUUUUUCGUAGAUUGCAGAAUACAUUUAGGACAAAAAAGUAAUUUCAAUCCAAAAAGUCAAAUGUCUGCCAAACAUUAACAACUAAGUCUACCUCAAGCAUGAAAAAUAACUAUACCAUAGAAACAAGUCUACCAUAAGCACCUCAUAUGUCUACCAGAUCGAGGUUAUCUUUGUAAAUACCAAACUUAGUUAAUCUACCACAUGAUUAUUAUAAGAAAUCUACCAUACGUACAAUAACUCUACCAGAUUACAUAAACUCUACCAAACUAACAAACAAAUCUACCAACAUUCUGUAAGUCUACUUCAUAUAACAAUGAAUCUACCACUUACCGGAAGGAAUUUUAUUUGAAUUUAAAUCUACCACAAAACAAAUAUAUCUACCACAAAACAAAUAAAUCUACCAAUAUUCUGUAAGUCUACCUCAUGUAACAAAUAAUCUACCACUCACCGGAAGGAAUUUUACUUGAAUUUAAAUCUACCACAAAACAAACAUAUCUACCACAAAAGCGAAAAAUCUACCAACUAGAUAUAACUCUACCAUAAAACAGAUAUAUCUACCGUCACGUAUUGACAACUUUUUCACAUAAAUCUACUGCCAAAUGACAUAAGUAUACCAACUCAGAAAUUAAAUCUACCUCAUUGUCAAUAAAUCUACCGACAAAGUCAACUAUGCGAAAAAGUCAACGCUUUGUUUAACAAGUCCUACCAACACGUUUGACAAGUCUUCCAUUCAUAACAACAAAUCUACCGAAACAUAAUAAAUCUACCUCUUAUCGUCAAAACUCUACCAAGAUAAGUCUACCAACAUUUGUAAAAUCUACCAACUCUCGAAUAAUUCUACCAUCGUCCUAAUAACUCUACCGACAAAUUUUUGCGUUGACCAAAAUUUGAUAAGUCUACCGUCAAAGCCUGGUAGACUUAUCAAAUUUUCAGCGCUAUUUUCUGCCUACAUGACAUUAAAAAAGUAAUGGCAUUUUUGUAAUUAGAUUUUUUUCAACAAAGGUGAAAAGGGUGUUUUGGGUAUGUUAGGUUAGUUUUGUAAAAAAAAAAAAGUGCGCCAAACAAGUAAUAUAGAUACUUUCUAAGGUUAGUGUAGUAAUCCUCCCUUAAAAUUAAAUAAUGAUUUGUUAAAGAUUGUUUUCAGUAUUUUUACAGUCUAAUCAAAAUUUAGUUAGGAUGAAUUGUAAAACGAAACAGCAAAAACUAGGAAUGCUCUCUGGCCCAUUUCCCGAUGUAGUCUGUACGGGAUUACAGAUCUUAUUUUUUCUCCAUUGAUUUCAUUUUUGAAUCUUUCCGACGAUGCUUGACAACUGCUCCGGUGCUCCUCUUUAUUGAAGACGAAGCCAACAACUUCUAUCAGGCUGCGGUGGAGAUUAUAUGAAGUCCAUAAAUUCUCUGCGAGCUCAGAAAUGUUGUGUGGUUUCAAAUCUCAUCUCCUGAAGCAAGAAAAUCAAGACGGCGCCGCUGCAUAGAAUCGGUUGACGUCUCCGGCGUCUCCUUCUCCUUUAACCACCACUUGAAGAACCAUCUCUAUCAACCCAGAUUGACUCGCUGGAACCCCAGUUUUUCACGAAGCCGCUUCUCCUAUAUUCAGAUCUGAAGCUUUCUCCCUUCUUGGGAAGUAUGGUCAUGUGCUCUUGGAAGUAUAGUAUGGUCAUCACAUUCUAGCCUUGUGCUACGAUUUUCAGUACUUUCUCUUAACUUGUGAAUGAUUUAGUUGAUCUAUUAAAAGAAAGAAGAAGAAGGAGAGUGUGUUUGGAUUUCUCCCAUCAGAAAAAAAAAGAAAGAGAAAAAACAAGUCCUGGUUGUGCAAUUUCCAAAUGUCUCUAUCCUUCUAGACUUGUUCUAAGCAUCUUAAAACUUCUAACUCUGGAGACCUUUCUGGUUAUAUACGACAAAAUCAAAAUUAACUUUGUCUUUGACAAGGAUUCAGCGAAAGAUGCUAAACAUCGAAACUACAAACACCAUUGAAGCCAUAACGGAAGAAGAUGAUUGGCUUAAUGAUGCUGAUUUAUAUGAGGAAGAUGAACUGGAAUUUUUAAGUAGUGAAGCAAAUUUUCAAAUCUCCAAUCUUGGAUGCUGAAUUAUCUGAGGUCGAAGCAAAUCCCCAAAUCUCCGGUACCAAGGGACUUCGUUGAAGAAGCGAUGGCUUAGUGAAAACUAUUUUUCUCCAAAAGCAAAAAGAAAAGGCAAAAAGGAGCAGGAUCAGGGUAAAGCCCAAGGGAGACAAAAUCACAAAGGCCCAUAAGCCAAAACCACUUUCUGGUUUGAGAAAUCCCCCAAAACCAGCAAAUCGGAAUCAGAAGAAAUGAAUGUACUUGGAUGGAAUUGUCAGGGCGUAGGAGCCGAUCUGACGAAAGAUCAUUUAGAAGAACUUUAUCAUUGUUUUUUUCCUCGGUUUUUAUUUCUAUCAGAAACAAAGAACAAUCAGAUAUUUAUGCAAGAUAUGCAAAUAUAUUUUGGUUAUGACCGUGUUUAUACCGUUGAACCAAUAGGUCGAAGCGGUGGUCUAGCCAUUUUUUAUAUGGAUGAACCUACAGUUUCCAUUAUUUAUUCUAAUGAGCAUAUGAUCGACGUUGAAUCAAGUCUAGAAGGGCAUAAAAUUUUUAUGACUUUCGUCUAUGGUGAUCCGGUCCUUAAAAACCGAGAAAAUGUCUGGAAACGGUUUAUGAUAGGAGACUUCAAUGAAAUAACCGGAAAUCACGAGAAACGGGGAGGCCGCAGGCGUUCUGAAACCUCGUUUAUCCCAUUCCGGACUAUGAUAGCUAAUUGUAGAAUUCUUGAUCUCCCUUACAAGGGAAAUUCUUUCUCUUGGGUGGGAAGAAGACGAUCUGGAAAAGUCAAAUGCCGACUGGACAGAGCACUUGGAAACGAAGAAUGGCUAUCUAUUUUCCCCCACUCAUCCGCGGAGUACUUGAAACUCUGGGGAUCAGACCAUCGACCUGUCCUAGCUAUGAUUAAAUCUGAAAACACAAGGAAGAAAAAAUCCUUUUGUUUUGAUAAAAGAUGGAUUGGAAAACCAGGAUUCAAAGAGACAGUCACUUCCAGGUGGGGCCCUUUUGAUGGAAUCUCACGUCGAGAUUUCCACCUGAAAGUGGCCCGAUACCGGAAAAACAUCUCCAUCUGGAAAAAAUCUAACCCGACUAACUCGGAAAAGAUGAUCGAAGAAUUAAAAAAUCAAUUGGACUUUGCUCAAGACGAUGACAAUACAACGCUAGAGGAAAUCGAAAACAUUAGGAGAAAACUCUACAAAGCUCUCCGGGAAGAAGAAAUUUUUUGGCAACAAAAGAGUCGGGAAAAAUGGCACAAGGACGGAGAUAAAAACACAAAGUUCUUCCAUGCGCUCACUAAGCAAAGGAGAGCUCGAAACCGCAUCGUCUCCCUCAGAGAUAACAACGGACAGUUGGUGGAAAAUGCAAGAGGGAUUGAACGGGUGGCCUCCACGUAUUUUCAAGAGCUCUUCUCCUCAUCUAUCCCCUCUGAUCCGACAAUCUCGCUCCGGUUUAUUACCGAGAAAGUAUCAAAUAAUGCAAACCAAUUAGUACUGAAGGAUCCAACUGAAAAAGAAAUCCAAGAAGCCCUUUUUGAUAUUAACCCGGAUAAAGCUCCUGGACCUGAUGGAAUGACGAGCAAAUUCUACCAAAAAUUCUGGCCUAUCCUCUGCCAAGACACAGUAAAACUUGUUAAAGACUUUUUUAGCUCCGGAACUUUUGACCAUAGACUCAACCAGACCAACAUUUGUCUAAUUCCGAAAAGAAACAAACCCAGAGCGAUGGCAGAAUUUCGCCCAAUCAGUCUGUGUAAUGUGAGUUACAAGAUCAUAUCCAAACUUAUGUGUAAACGGCUCAAAAAGACAUUACCUAACAUCAUCUCGGAAACACAAUCGGCCUUCAUGGCUAGACGGCUUAUAACUGACAAUAUCUUGUUAGCCCAAGAAAACUUUCAUGCACUCCGUACCAAUACCAUAUGUAGAGAAAACUUUAUGGCCAUAAAGACAGAUAUGAGCAAAGCUUAUGAUCGGGUUGAAUGGAGUUUCAUCGAAGCCCUCCUGAUUAAGCUAGGUUUCUCGGCGAGAUGGGUUGAGUUACUUAUGUAUUGCAUCUCCUCGGUUUCAUACCAAGUCCUUAUUAAUGGAGAACCUAAAGGACACAUCAAACCAUCAAGGGGAUUAAGGCAAGGAGAUCCUCUCUCUCCGUUCCUUUUUAUCUUGUGCACAGAAGGCCUGAUUUCUCUCCUCAAAGGUGCUGAGGAAGAAGAACGCAUUUCUGGGCUGAAGGUAGCCCAAGCAAGCCCUCCAGUGUCCCACCUACUAUUUGCUGAUGAUACCCUGUUCUUCUGUAGAGCAAACAUACAACAGGGAGCAAAGAUUCUCAGAAUAUUAAACACUUAUGGAGCAGCAUCAGGGCACAACUUAACCUGGGAAAAUCAUCCAUCAUGUUCGGAAAUAAAGUGGAUCCGAACCAAAAACGAGCUAUUAAAAAUACCAUCGGCAUCUCGACAGAAGGUGGCAUGGGCAUGUAUCUAGGCCUCCCAGAGCAAAUCUGCGGAUCAAAGAAGAAAGUCUUCUCUUUUGUCCAUGAUCGCCUUAGUUCCCGGGUCAAUAAUUGGUCUGCAAGACUUCUUUCCAAAGGCGGAAAAGAGAUUCAGAUCAAAUCAGUGGCUCAAGCCGUUCCAACCUACGUCAUGUCUUGCUUUCUUCUUCCACAAGGGAUAACAGACAAACUCCGUAGCGCUAUUGCCAAUUUUUGGUGGAGCUCGAAACAACAUAACAGUGGAAUACAUUGGAUUGCAUGGGAUAAGAUUUGCAUUCCCCAAGAUAUGGGAGGCCUUGGAUUUAGGGAUCUUAACGAUUUUAACCUAGCCCUACUAGCCAAGCAGCUAUGGAGACUCAUUCAGUAUCCAAACUCUCUUCUGGCUCGAGUGCUAAGAGGAAGAUACUUUCGACAAUCUGAUCCAUUAGAGAACCGAAAAGUCUACUCACCAUCUUAUGGAUGGAGGAGUAUGUUGGCUGCCAAACCGUACCUCAAAUUGGGACUCAGGAAGACAAUCGGGUCGGGACUCAACACUAGAGUUUGGAGUGAGCCUUGGAUCCCCGAUGCUAGAGCACGAGCUCCAAGAGCAGCCCCCCAAAUCGGCUUUCAAGAUCCAGGAAUGCUAGAAUAUCAUCUUAUCAAUCAAGAUACGAAACAAUGGGAUGAGCCUCUCCUAAGAGUCUGCUUCCAACCUGAGGAUGUCUCGCUUAUCCUUGGGUUGAGACCUACUAGAAACCGUAACCUAGAUGGAUAUGCAUGGAACCACACUAAAUCAGGGAUAUAUUCGGUUAAAUCGGGUUAUGAUAUGAUUAGAAGAGCGAAGCUUGCUCAAAAUUCAGAUGUGGUGGGAGAACCAAGUAUUACAGCCCUUCAAAGUUAUGUUUGGAAAGUACGAACACCUGGAAAAAUGAAACAUCUCAUGUGGCAAGCUUUAUCAGGAUGCAUUGCUACUUGCCAAAACCUGACCUGAAGGCAUUUGGGAACAGAUAGGUGGUGUCCCCGCUGCGGGAACCCUGAAGAAUCUAUCAACCAUCUUCUAUUUUUAUGUCCCCUGGCUUUACAAGUCUGGGCGUUAUCGGACUUUCCGUCCUUUCCGGGCCUCUUCCCGAGUACCUCUAUUUACCAAAAUAUGAGCUUCCUCUUUUGGAAAACAAAAGAGCUAGGCAUGAGAGAUCCACAAAAGGAUAUUUAUCCUUGGAUCCUUUGGUAUAUUUGGAAAGCCAGGAACGACAAGAUCUUUAACGGGAAAGAAAUUCCCCCGGUAGAUACCUUAAUCCACGCAAAUAUUGAAGCAGAAAGCUGGAGGAGUGCAAACAAACCGGAAGUAGACGAGGACGCAAUAGAUGAGAUUACUCCCAUUCCUCUAACUCCGUCAUCUCUACCUGAUGCCCAGAGGUUCCCGAUCUGCCAGGUCGAUGCGUCUUGGAUAGAAAACGGUCUGGUGAGUGGGCUCGGGUGGUGUUUGAGGAAGAAUAAGAGUGAAGAGAUCUUUGGCCUUCAGGGCUGUCGGAGAAGCCUUUCGGCCCUUUAUGCCGAAUUGGAGAGCCUCCUAUGGGCAAUGUCUUGCGCGAGAGAUAGACAGAUCAUAUCCGUCCACUUUCAGACCGACUGCUUGGAUCUGGUAAGCAUGGUAGAAUCUCCAUCAGACUGGCCAUCCUUCUUUUCAGAGUUGGAAAUUUUCCGAACAUUACGAGAAAGCUUUUUGGAUUUCACUUUUUCCCAUAUCUCCAGGAGUUCAAAUGUCCGAGCAGAUGGUCUAGCGAAAGAAGCUCGAGCAAAAGGCUUUAUCUUUUCCCAAAUCAUUCAUAACGAGUCAGUUGCGGGGAAGUUUCACACCAUUCUCUUAACAGGCCAAUAGUGAUGUAUUAGUUGGAUAGUAGAAACAAAAAAAAUCAAAAUUUAGUUAGAAUCAUUUGCGAAUUAUAAACAAAAGUUAGAAAAAGAGACUACUGUAGGGAAUUUUUUAAGAAUUUAUGAUUAACAUAUGAGUGUGACUUUGCCUCCUUUCAAUGCCCAAUUUCUUGAAAUUCUGGCUGUUCUGCAUCCAACGUAUUAAACAAUCAAUUCUUUAUGUAAAUUAAAGAAGCAAAAGACAGAAAAAUUUAUUACGAAGAAAAAAGGUUGAAGCAAAUUGAUCAAAAACUCGUUCCACUUUUAUAAUCUGUCAAUGUCUUAAGAAUCUUCUUGCUUCCACUUCCAACGAUAGAUUUUGCUCUUCUUUUUUCCUGUGAUUUUCUCGGAACUUCUGGAAUCAAAGCAGAGGGAAAAUCACUACCAAUGGCAGCAGAGAAACCGAACUCAAAGAGGCAAGCAUGGUGAAGAAAGACAAAACACCUCAUUUCAAUAGUCAAAAAGAUGUUUCUUGUUCAUUCUGAAAAUUCUUUCUGUCUUACUUUCGGUGCAGGUUUUGUACCACAGGCUUGCCCAGUGACAUCGAAAUCGAAGUCGACGACAUGACAUUUCAUCUGCAUAAGGUCUUCAUUAAUACGUCUUGAGAUUUCAUCUUCUUUUCUGUUUUCAGAGUUUUCUCAAAACUUAACUCAACUUUUAUGUUCCCUUCAGUUUCCUCUGAUAUCCAAGAGCAGAAAACUCCACCAGCUGAUUACAGAGCAUAAGCAGAGACUAGAAGAGAGUGACGACAACAGGAAACGCCAUGAACAAGAGGAAUCAGUAGAAAACAACGAUUAUCUUCACAUCAGACUCGAGGAUUUUCCAGGAGGUUCGGAGAUUUUCGAGAUUGUGGUAAAGAUAUGUUACGGCGUCAAAGUCGAACUCUCUGCUUCAACAGCUGUUCCACUCCGGUGCGCCGCGGAGGAUCUCGAAAUGUCGGAAGAGCACUCACCGGAAAACCUAAUCUCAAAGACGGACAAGUUCCUCUCACAAUCCGUCUUCAAUAGCAUACCAGAAUCCAUCAAGGCGUUGAAAGCGUGCGAAUCAGUCUCUACUGUAGCCGAAUCCAUCGGUAUAACGAAACAGUGCAUAGAAUCAAUCGUCUCCAGAGCUUCAUCACCAGAUCCGUCGUUGUUCGGUUGGCCAAUAAACAAAACGAAAUCGGCCGAUACAAAACAGAGCAAUGAUUCGAAAUCGGAGCUAUGGCUCGAAGAUCUAACGGAAUUGAACUUCCCGAUCUUCAAACGAGUAAUCCUAGCCAUGAAAUCAAGAGAUCUAAGUCCCGAUCUAGUAGAGAGCUCUCUGAUUCGUUACGCGAAGAAGCACAUCCCCGGAAUCUCGUCGCGGUCUUCGUCAUCUUCCUCCUCCUCCACCAUAGCGUCAGAGAACAAUCAAAGAGAAUUGUUGGAGACGAUAAUCUCAGAUCUUCCGUUAAAUCACUCCUCGAAAACCGCAACGACGACGAGAUCUCUCUUCGGGUUAUUACGAUCCGCCAUCAUCCUCAACACCUCCGAGAAAUGCCGGACGUUCCUUGAGAGAAAAAUCGGGUCGCGGCUGGAGAAAGCGACGCUCGACGAUCUGCUCAUCCCAAGUUACUCGUAUCUCAACGAGACGUUAUACGAUGUCGAUCUGGUGGAGAGGCUCGUAGGUCAUUUCCUCGAAAUCGCCGUCGUAUCUUCGUCGCUGACGGUGGUUGGGAAACUAAUCGACGGAGUUCUCGGCGAAAUCGCAUCGGACGGUAAUCUCAAACCGGAGAAAUUCUACAGUUUAGCGAUUUCUCUCCCUGAUGAAGCACGGCUCUACGACGACGGACUCUACAGAGCCAUCGAUAUAUAUUUAAAGGUGAUUAAAAAUAUAUAACAUUGAUGCUACCCAGAUCGAACUUGUGACCUUUUGUGAUUUUGGUUUUUUUUUUGNNNNNNNNNNNNNNNNNNNNNNNNNNNNNNNNNNNNNNNNNNNNNNNNNNNNNNNNNNNNNNNNNNNNNNNNNNNNNNNNNNNNNNNNNNNNNNNNNNNNGAGUUUGGGGUAUGGAGAAACGGUGAGAGAGAAUCAGGUGCUUCGAUGGAUAUGGAGACGAUGAGGACACGUGUGUACCAGUUAGAAAGAGAAUGCUUGAGCUUGAAGGAAGUGAUCGCGAAGAUCGACAAGAAAAGUUCGUCGGAGGAAGUGAACGAUCGGCGGUUUGUGAGUAAGUGGUCGAUCAGUAAAAAAUUCGGAUGCAAAUUCAAGACACAGGUUUGUGAUUCGCGUGAGUCAACGAUGGUAGAUCGAAGAUGUCGACAUUAAUGUACUGUAUAUACACAAAUCAGAACACUUGUGCUUUGAAUUUUUUUUUUUUUUAGGUUGAAGAAUUCUAUUUUUUUUAUAUAUCGAUUUGAAAGAAGAUUGAUAUAACUUUGUAUUAAAUGAAAAAGAAGAUUGUGACUUUUGAUUGCAAUGUUUUCUUUUUUCAUAAGAUCAUUUUGGUACGAAAGAAAUAAUUUGGGUUUCGUGUAGGGAUUUAAUUUUUAUUAAUACCUAUAAUGUCGUGAAAAAUGGAAGCAUUAGGAAAAUAGCAUAGAACUUUGGCUGGUUGUAGCAGAUGCAUGGAGUGAACUUAUCCAUUUACAGACAAGAACGCUAUUUAUUUACUACUAAUCAUAUAUAGACAUAAAGAUUUUGGUCUCUAGUAGUAUAGACAAACGAAAUUUGCUGCGGAUGAUUCUUUUUUUUUUGUUGCGGAUUAAAUUAUUAAUGAAGAAAGAACGAUCCACAACUGAUUGAUGCUUGUUCCAAAAAAUAAAGCGGUCCAGUUCGCAAACGGAUUAAUUCACUCUAUCUGUUUACAAUAUAAAUCAAAAUCUAAUAUUCGAAACACUAGAAAACUAAAACUAAAUUUUUUGAAAAUAAAAUAAAACUCAGUUAUUAGUAUUCCUAUGUUUUAAUUAUAUAUUCUUCUUGUCAAUCAUUUAGUUUUUGUUUCUUGUCAAUCAAUAUUUUUUUGUUUCGGCUUAUCCCUAAAAUAAUUGAGGAUACCCAACGGCGAAAAAACAACAAUUUGUGGAUGCGACACAGAACGCGGAAACCAACGGAAUAGGUCAAACCGGAUGGUUAAUUCUGAACACGCGGCGGUUUAACCUUUCUCCAUUAGUAUUUUAUUCAAUCAGAAGGGGACACGUCACUCAUCACAAGUGGUCAGCAGCGGUAAACCAGGGCACGAUUGAGAGAGAAAAAGAACGAAAAAGCAAUUAUAAACAUUUGGGAAAUCUGAGAAUCGUGAGAAGACGACCUGGAUAAGCUGAACCUAGCUGGAGGAAUAUAAUAAUUUUGAAAGAGAUAUUAAAUAAGUAAAUAAAAAAGCUUCAAAAUUAUUGUCUUUGAAAACGAAGAUCGAUUAUCGUUUUGAUUCGGCUGGAGAAAGAAGAAGAAGAACAGAAAAACAAUGGGGCGUGUGGAUUAUCUGGCGAUGAAGACCGACGUUGAUACGGUUGCUCUGGUCAAUUCCGACUUGGAGGAGCUCAAGAUCGCUGCGAAGAAACUCGUCAGCGAUGUUUCGAAGCUUGGUGGAUUAGCCUUUGGUGUUUCUUUCGUCAAAUGGAUCGCUUCUUUCGCUGCCAUGUGAGUCAAAUUCAAUUCGCCAUCUCUGAUUUUGCUUGUCGUCGAUUUUGUUUGUUUGUUUGUUCAGUUUCUGAAACGAACGAACGAAUAUGAUUUUCUUUGUGGAUUACUUCGAUCGUCGACGACUGGGUAACUUUCGUGCUUCAUGUUGGGUCAAUUGAAAUUGAAAAAUUCGAUACGAGAUUAUUGAUUAGAAGGGUCUAUGAAAGUGAAUCUGAUUGAUGUUUAGCAACGAUUUGUUACUCUUGUUAUUGAGAUUUUUUUAAAUGAAUAACGUUUUCUCGUGGCUUUGACACCCAGUAAUCCAAGAAAAUUCAAUCAUAUUGUAACUGUUUACUGAACAGAUUAAAAAUAGUGAUUGAGAGAGGUUUAAUCUCCAUUUGUAGUAAUCCGACUGUUUCAAACUCUUUUUUUUUUUGUGUGCAUCUUUUGUUGGUUGAUAAUAUAGAUUUGAUCACAAUAAUGAUAUUGGUAUUUGAUGCAGUUACUUGUUAAUAUUGGAUCGUACCAAUUGGAGAACCAAGAUGCUUACAGCACUCUUGAUACCAUACAUCUUCCUUAGCCUUCCUGGUGUGAUUUUUAACUUUCUCAGGUAACAAUCUUUUCUUUUCCUGUCAAAAGAAAAAAUCUUUCUAUCUCACAACAUAAUUCUUACACUUAAAAGUCUAUAAAUUGCAUUGGUUAACUAAAAGUUUACCUUUCUGUUAUCAGUGGAGACGUUGGGAAAUGGAUAGCUUUCGUUGCAGUUGUACUCAGACUCUUCUUCCCCAAGCAUUUCCCUGGUGAUGAGAUCUCGUUAUCUCUUAUUUCCACUUAUUCUUCAUUUGCAUACUUUGUAUUGUUGUCUCCAAAAUCUUAAGUGUUUUAUCUUAUUAACGAAUACGCUUUUGAAGUAAAUCUCUACUUGCAUUCAAGUCAUUCCCAAUGGCCACUGUGUUGGUGUGAAUUGCUAAUAGCUGAUACUAAAGUCUCACACUUUUUGUUGUUGUGGUGUUCAAAAUUGGCAGAUUGGCUUGAGAUGCCAGGUUCUCUGAUCCUUCUGCUGGUAGUUUCUCCACACUUCCUAGUGCAUCAUAUACGCGGAACCUGGAUUGGCUCGGUCAUCAGCCUUUUUAUAGGAUGUUACCUUCUUCAAGAACAUAUCCGUGUAACGGGUGGGUUCAGGACUUCAUUCACGCAGCCCCGUGGAAUAUCAAACACUUUAGGGAUCAUCCUUCUUUUGGUCUACCCUGUCUGGGCUCUGAUCGUUCGUGUCUCAUAAAACCCACAUUCCUCUCAAUUUCAUCUCCAAGUUGUGUUCUUGCUCGGCUGGUCCAAUAAAAACUUCGUGAAAGAUCGAGCAAGAACCUAUCUUUCUGCUUCUGUUACAUACCCAAAUACUACUGCCUCAACGCAAAGCUCAAUCAAUGUUCCAUAUAUAUAAAAAAAAAGAAUCUCGUUUUUUUCAACUAUUUGUUUGUCUAUUGUAAGAAGAACUUGUAAGUUCUGAAAAGUUGUUUCGAUGUAAAUUGCUUAUGAAUUUUGUUUCGUAUAUGCCGUCGUGGAAUGUUUGUCGUUUUGGUAUAGCAAAAAGUGCAUGAGCUACACGCUGUUUCAGACUAAGUAAGGAGCCUUCAUGUCGUUUUGUCUAUUGUUGUAAUAUAUCUUGGGCCAGUAUACAGUAUCUCUAAUUAAUUUCCACAUAAGGAAUGAGUGGCGUUUUGGAUUCGCAAAAGAAGGAGAACAACACGCCGUUUAAAAUUUAAUAACUAGACAUUCAUGUCGUUUAUAUCUUAGGGGACGUCCCAAAACCCUAGCCCUAGCACGGCUUGUAUAUAAAUACUCAACUAUCCGCCGAUCUUAGUCAUAAGUCUUCUCCGAUCUCUGAGUUCUACUCUAAUUUGAACCUCAGGCUGUGCUUAGUUCUUUAGAUGUCCUUUAUUUAGCUGUAUUGAUUUCCGCUGAAUAGAUUUGUGUUUUCGUUUCUUUUCAACGUUUUUGCUCAUGUUUUUGAUCUUAUUCAUCUUUCUUUCGAUAUAAUUUUUCUCUUGUGCUUUACUUUUCUUCGAUUUUUACGAGUGGGGAAAAGGGUUUCUCAGUGAUGAACAACCAUAGAUGACGAGUCCGAUCAAUCCAUUCUUUAAAUCAUGGGGACAAACGAGGCAUUUGUCUGAGAGGAAUCCUUUUAUAAAUUUUGUUUUUCAAUCUACUGUAAUUUCUGUUUAAAGUUUUUGAUUUUGCGAUAUUUUUCUUAAGAAGGAAAAGAAUAGGCAUGAUGAGGAUUGUUUAUUGUCAUCUGAUUCAUGACGAAUUAAUACCUCCUACUCAUUCUGAGUGCUUAUUUCGUUUCUUAGUUUUCUGUAUAUUAAUUUCAUUAUAUGAUUCCAUAACUACAAUCGGUUGUCUAAAAAAUUGAAUUAGUUGACUUGUAGAGCAUUAUAUGGAUUGGUUCUUAACAUCCUAAAUUGAAAACUAUUGAAUUCCUUAUUUAUCAAUUCUACUAUGGUUCCAAGAAUUAGUAGUCCAAUUAUCAUGCGAGUGCCAAAUUAAAAUACUAGUCUCUAGUAUUAUUAAAAUUAAUGUUUGUCAUAGUUGGAUGAUGGUACCUUGAUAAAAAAAAAUGAAACUUAGAGAAUUUAAAAGGAAAAGUUAUCAUACUCGAAUUAUCAACACAUAAAAGUUUUUAAUUGUAUACGACAAAUAAAGUUCUUGACUAGCUGAACCAAUGUUUCCCCUUUGGUUUGUGCUAUUGGUGUAUAUAUGUCUCUGGAUUAAGAAAAUUUAAAACUUCUUGUUUCAAAGGAUUUUACAAAAAUAAACAAUAUUAUAAAUAAAAUUUAAACUUAUUGGAUCCUUUAUUCGAGAUUCAUAUAGACUCAUUGUAGUCACUCCAGUCCUCUGAAUGAGUGUCAUCGUGAUGCACCAAAUCAUCUUCAUAUGCAUUAUCAAUCUGUCUUUCUCUUAUAAGCUUUGCCAUCGUGAUAACGUCGUACCCGAAAAGAUAGAAAUCUAUAGCAUUCACCAUCGUGGCAAUGGUGUUACCCAUCGAAAAAUAGGAACCUGUAGCGUUUAAACUGCAGGAGAAUAUAAAAAAGAGACCAAAAGAUCAAUACCUUGUUUAGGAUUAACAACAUAUAUAACUAAUUACCAUGAUCAGAGAUAUAAUAGUAUCCACGAGAUCUGAUAGAAACGCUCUGUUUUCUCAAAGUUUAUAUGAUCAAAAAUAAAGUGCAAGCCAAUGAAAGUGAGAACAAGAGGAUCAUUAUAAUCAAACCAAACAUAGAUGCAGAAAAGAACAGAGAAAAAAGAAGAAGAUAUACUUACCGAGCCAACUUGGGGAGUUGUGUUUUGCGAGUGAGUUUUUUUAGAUAUAUAAAGAAUGAGUGUAUCAUGCAUCUGUGAAGAGGAAAGAGGUGCGCGAAUAUGAACAACCUUGGCUCAUCGUAAAUUGAUACUUAGCCAUAAUUACGAAAUUAAAUAUUUGAACUACCAAUGUAUAUUAAAGGACUCUUCAAGUGCCACCCUUUCUGUUCUUACUCGACUUAGUUAUCAAGAUUCAUAUUUUUCGUGGGAAAAGAGAAGCAUUGUGAAUUGUGAGAGUGGACCUGCGACUGGCGCUAUUUAGUAGUCUGCGACUGAUUUAUAUCCAUAGUCAUAUUGGUUGUAUUGAAAAGCUCUAUAAUUCAUUGUCAUGUUAUUGAUGCUAUUUUUGCCAUUUUUCUUUUUACAGGACCCAAAAAAAGAGUUAUGUUUAUGUUAACUUUAAAUUCACAAAAAAAUAAACCACAAGCUUGGAUGAAAGUAAAAAACUUCAAUUUCCCGCGCGAUUAGUUUCCAAGUUCAUAUAAAUAACAUUAAUUUAUACGAUUAAAAAAAACCCUUUAUAAUUUUGUUGCGACUUAUAUAGGCUGUUGACCAAAGGAUUCAAAACAGGACGAAGGUUCGAAGAGCUUCCAGAGAAAAUAAUGAUUUGUUUUCAAAUAAAUUAUUGUAUCCACGUCAGCAUUGCAGAUUGAGACCGUAUCUAUAUUUCCACAUCAGCUUCUGACACGUGGCGACCAAACAACCGUAGACUCCUGAAACUAUCCAAUGAAAAAAUUCGAACUUAUCCGACCUUAUCUUAUUAAGAAGAAAAAAAAGCCCUCUCCUCCGAUUAGUACUUCUCAGCUUCACAUUAUCAUCAUCACUCAAACAAACACAAACAUCUGAGAAAUUGUCGUCAUGGCAACCUCUCUACAAGCCGCCACAACUUUUCUUCAGCCGGCCAAGAUCGCCGCUUCUCCUUCUCGCAGCGUUCAUCUCCGAUCAAACCAAACCGUGGCCAAGUCCUUUGGGCUUGAAUCUUCACCAGCUAGACUCACUUGCUCCCUCCACUCUGACUUCAAAGACUUCGCCGGAAAAUGCUCCGAUGCUGCCAAAGUCGCCGGUUUUGCUCUCGCCACCUCUGCUCUCGUCGUCUCGGUAUAACUUCAAUUUCUCAUUAAACAUAUAAACUAAAAACUUAUAGGCCAUUGUGUUUAUUGAAGAACCAAGUUAGGAAUCGUUAUCUAAGACACAUCCAUUUUUUGACUGCCGAUAAAUUUUGAAUGAAAAACUUGUGAAAGAUAGACAAAUCCACUCAUUACCAUUUCUUUUUUUAAUAGGAGCAUUACAAUACUUGUAAAUUUAGUUGCAUAUUGUUAAUUAGUCUUUUAUUCUUGUUCUGUAAAUAAAUAUUUGGGAAAAAUGAAGGGGGCAAGUGCAGAGGGAGCACCAAAGAGGCUAACGUACGACGAGAUACAGAGCAAGACUUACAUGGAGGUUAAGGGGACUGGUACAGCGAACCAGUGUCCAACUAUCGACGGUGGCUCUGAAGCAUUCUCAUUCAAGCCUGGUAAGUACACUGGCAAGAAAU